rnacentral:rRNA from 1 species
AUGAACGCUGGCGGCGUGCUUAACACAUGCAAGUCGAACGAUGAACCUCACUUGUGGGGGGAUUAGUGGCGAACGGGUGAGUAACACGUGAGUAACCUGCCCUUGACUCUGGGAUAAGCCUGGGAAACUGGGUCUAAUACCGGAUAUGACUGAUCAUCGCAUGGUGGUUGGUGGAAAGCUUUUGCGGUUUUGGAUGGACUCGCGGCCUAUCAGCUUGUUGGUGGGGUAAUGGCCUACCAAGGCGACGACGGGUAGCCGGCCUGAGAGGGUGACCGGCCACACUGGGACUGAGACACGGCCCAGACUCCUACGGGAGGCAGCAGUGGGGAAUAUUGCACAAUGGGCGCAAGCCUGAUGCAGCGACGCCGCGUGAGGGAUGACGGCCUUCGGGUUGUAAACCUCUUUCAGUAGGGAAGAAGCGUAAGUGACGGUACCUGCAGAAGAAGCGCCGGCUAACUACUU